rnacentral:rRNA from 1 species
UUGAACGCUGGCGGCAGGCUUAACACAUGCAAGUCGAGCGGAUGAAAGUAGCUUGCUACUGGAUUCAGCGGCGGACGGGUGAGUAAUGCUUAGGAAUCUGCCUAUUAGUGGGGGACAACGUUCCGAAAGGAGCGCUAAUACCGCAUACGUCCUACGGGAGAAAGCAGGGGACCUUCGGGCCUUGCGCUAAUAGAUGAGCCUAAGUCGGAUUAGCUAGUUGGUAGGGUAAAGGCCUACCAAGGCGACGAUCUGUAGCGGGUCUGAGAGGAUGAUCCGCCACACUGGGACUGAGACACGGCCCAGACUCCUACGGGAGGCAGCAGUGGGGAAUAUUGGACAAUGGGGGGAACCCUGAUCCAGCCAUGCCGCGUGUGUGAAGAAGGCCUUUUGGUUGUAAAGCACUUUAAGCGAGGAGGAGGCUACCUAGAUUAAUACUUUAGGAUAGUGGACGUUACUCGCAGAAUAAGCACCGGCUAACUCUGUGCCAGCAGCCGCGGUAAUACAGAGGAUGCGAGCGUUAAUCGGAUUUACUGGGCGUAAAGCGUGCGUAGGCGGCCAAUUAAGUCAAAUGUGAAAUCCCCGAGCUUAACUUGGGAAUUGCAUUCGAUACUGGUUGGCUAGAGUAUGGGAGAGGAUGGUAGAAUUCCAGGUGUAGCGGUGAAAUGCGUAGAGAUCUGGAGGAAUACCGAUGGCGAAAGCAGCCAUCUGGCCUAAUACUGACGC